AAAUAAAAGACCUGGACUGUAAAGG
rnacentral:piRNA from 1 species